UACAGAGGGUGCGAGCGUUAAUCGGAAUUACUGGGCGUAAAGCGCACGUAGGCGGCUUUGCAAGUCAGAGGUGAAAGCCCGGGGCUCAACCCCGGAAUUGCCUUUGAGACUGCAUCGCUAGAAUUGUGGAGAGGUAAGUGGAAUUCCGAGUGUAGAGGUGAAAUUCGUAGAUAUUCGGAAGAACACCAGUGGCGAAGGCGACUUACUGGACACAUAUUGACGCUGAGGUGCGAAAGCGUGGGGAGCAAACAGG
rnacentral:rRNA from 1 species